ACCAUCACUAAACUUGAGACCAAUUUUAUUAUUAAUUAACUAGAAGCCCAAUUAAAGCAGUAGCAAGGAUCACCCCAAAUGAGUUCGUAGCCCUUGAAAGGUUUCGAGACAACAAACCAAUGUCCCAAGUUUUGACCACGAGAUCAAAACUCCGAGUUUUCUCCACCUUUAUGGAGUAUUAAAUAUUCUCCGCCUUUCUCCCUCUAAUCCUGGGUCCUUUCUCAAUUCCAUAUGCAUAAUCAUUCAAAUCAGCCAUUCUAUAUAUAAUUUGCAUUAAAGAUCCAUUUGGGUGUCUUCCCUAUGACGCAGAAGCAACUCUAGUCUAGAUAUAAUGGCUGACGAAGGAGCUUCAAAGUACCUCUUCUUUUGUCUCUUGAUUCUUCUCACAUUCUUCUCUUCAGAAGUGCUCCCAAGAAAAGAAAUUGAGCAGAAAGAUCUCAAAACAGAAGCAAACCGGGUGUUUGAUAAAAUUCCCUACAGAGAACUCAUUGACCAUUUCCACCAUAAAACAACUCUACAUGACACAAUCUACCCACCAAAUUUCCCCACCUUCACUCCAACAGUCGUCACCAUUCCCUCCACCGUUCCCGUCACCGUCACUGUAACCCCCAACCCUACUUCCACUUCCACUCCCACUCCCACUCCCACUCCCGUACCCAUCCCCUCCUCCCCUACAGUUCCAAUCACAAAUCCCGUUACGACACCUAGCACAGUCCAGCCGAUAACUAACCCGGUAACCUCUUUCCCGGCUCCAACAACCGGAGUUCCAGUCAUGACGCCAGUGACAGUAGGAACUCCGGCUGUCUCAGGGCAGAGCUGGUGUGUGGCGAAGAGUGGAGCAACGGAGAGUGCACUUCAGGUGGCGCUUGAUUAUGCUUGUGGGCUUGGAGGCGCAGAUUGUUCAGGGAUACAGGAGGAUGGGGGAUGUUAUAAUCCGAAUAGUUUGGAAAGCCAUGCCUCGUUUGCCUUCAACAGUUACUAUCAGAAGAGCCCGGUGCAAACGAGCUGUGACUUUGGAGGAACUGCCGUGAUAACCUACGUGAAUCCAAGCACUGGAACAUGCAUCUACCAAUCAUCUUUGGCUUCUUCUUCAUCGCCGAUGACAGAAACGACUCCAUCACCAACAACUACAUCAUCACCAGGAUCAAUAGUGCCUGGCUCCGAUUCUCUUCCCUCGGUGUUAAAUGCAAGCAACCCAGCUUCGGGUAGCACAUCAGUUUUCGGCGAUGGUCCUCCUAGUUAUCCUAGUUACAACACUUCCACAUCCAUGGCUAUCAAUUUGCAACCCUUUGUUCGUUGUAUCAUUCCAGUAGCAUCGUAUAUCAUUGGGAAAGUCAUUUUCGACGUGUAGAUGAGAAGCUCAUAGCUUCAGAACUACAGUGUUUAGGCUAGCGUACAAAUUGAUGAUCCUCAAAGGAAGGACGCAAGUGGUGAUUUCUUCAGGACACUAAAUUUCUAACAACCGUGUUGUGCUCGGAUUCUCAAUAGUCUGCAUGAUCGAGCUCAGCUGAGAAUUGACCUGAAGGGAAUGGGGCAACUUCAAGUCUUCAAGUUCAAGACCAAGUACUGUAUUUAAGAAACAAGUUCAAUCAGCAGAUGGACAGAAUGUGCUUCAUCCAACAACUUGGACACUGUUUUGCUCAGAAUUGAGCAACUCUUUCAUGAUCCAACAGUAGUUCAAGUUGAUAGUCCACUGCGCAAAAAAACCAGUCAGAAAUUUCUUUACUUAAUUCGCGUUCUUUCCAACAUUUUGUAUACCAGAUUGAGGCUGCUUCCUCAUGGUCACAACUCACAAGUAAUAGCAAAUCGAGAACAUAUAAAUUGAAAUUUAUCUCGGUUCUAACUCGUACAUUUUGGUGUAAAUAUAGCCCGAUAGCAUCAGUUGUUUUUUUACAUGAUGACAAGAGAGGGAAACGAAAAAGGGCCAAAGAUAAAUAGCCACGUAAACGUUGUCUUUAUACCAUUUUUAACUACCAGUGAAAUCAAGACCCCAAAUUGGCAAAUCAGACAGUGUCGUUCCAAUGGGACGAAAAGCGUCAAUGAUAAUUAAAACAAUUUCAACAUACAGAAUCCAAGUUUUCCCAUCCAGCACUUUUUUUGGGGCAGAAAGAAUAGCCAAAUAUCGAACUGUCAGCAGCAUUUUUUCCACAACAAAAUACCCAUGAUGCCACUUGCUUUUCUAACAUGGAUUACCACGGUCAAUCUUCUAAUUAGUAAAAUGCCUAAAGAUCUACAUGAGCAGCACUUCUUUUUCAAGAAUAAUAGAAAGAAGAUCCCAACCUCAAAUCAAUAUCCAUAUCUUGGCCAUUAUCUCUCUUCCAGCAGCAAUAUCAUAUACAAUUGAAACACCACCUCUCAAAAACGUCAAAUAACCAAACCCUGCCCGCAAUUAAGAUUGUUUGCCAUAUCUUAUGCCUUAGAUCUCCUAAACUCAAACCAAAUCUCAUAAUAUGAUUAAAGAGUAAGCUAUCAUGUGUGCGCUUCGCAAGAUAUUCAAGCCCCAAAUUGUUCAAUCUCUUUUGUGCACUCAUCUCCUCCUAAGCGUGAACAGAAUUUAAUGUUAUGCGACACAAAGAUUCGACCUUCGAAAGGUUUCAAUUUGUUCACUAAGCUCUCUAGUCCGGUCCAAACAAGCUUAUCAGGCAUAUGCAGGAAAACGGCACUCGCGUAUAUCAAAUCAUACAUUCCAGACCCAAACUUACUGAAAUCCAUGUCUUUCACCUUUCACAAUUAAAGGGCGUUUAUGCAGUAUUCCUUGGGAUGGAAUUAAGCUCAUAACUAAAUGCAGCCAUUAAAGAAAGUUCAUCUCUCUCUAGACAAUGGAAUUGCCCUGGAUUCAGGUACGUACCGGAUGAAAUGCAAGCCUGCUCGAAGGGUGCCACAUCCAAUCUCAAGAACAAGUAUGGAGAGAGGUGGACAGAAUCUGCAAGGAAUUCGAAGAUGUCUCAACCUCCAGCCCAGGGCUCCCCAUAAUUGCUGUGAUGCUCCUCUACAAGGAGCUCACCUGAGCAUGGUAAAGCCGUGUGAUUGCUUGAUUCCUCUCGUUCGUAAUGAGAUAUGGCCUUGAAUCUGAAAAUUAUGGGAGAUCUAAUCACAUUUCUGAAUGAAGUACUCGAAGACCAAAAUUGGACAUAAAGCCUUAAAAGUUAAAACUAAACAAGGGACACACAAAGGGGUAUAGAUGUGUAGGUAAAUAGAAAAGUAUCUACACAAGUGUGAGAGAUGUGUGGAUAUUAAACUAAAUACAAUAGUGGCAGACAGACGCGCAAACACACACGCCGACGCUAUAUCUAAGAAAUAUAUGGUACACUCCCCGCACCUUAGUCAUCAUGAGCUUAGGGGUGAAUAUUGAGAAAAGGUGUAAUUAGAUA